GGACCACCCACGGAAUCAGGGAGCAUUCCUGAACCCCAUUUACCCUCUAUUUGGAUAGAAAGUAAAGGGACCUGACCCAUAACGAGGGGAGGAAGAAAAUGAGCCAAGCCAGUAGCCCAUUUGUGUUAUGAGCACCCUCCUGGGCUCACGUGUCCUGAGCCCAGCACAGACCAGGGGAUGUCUGAAUACAAGACUAGGGAAUUUGAGAAGAAGGAAUGAUGACAUUCAUCUGGAAGGGCAGAGAAGACUUCCUGAAGGAGAUGGCAUUUCUUCUGGGCCUCAUGGAUGUGCCUGACUUAAAAAUGUGGAACCAGGUUGGGGAGAGCAUUCUAGGUGGAAAAAGAGUCUCAUCUAAAUGAACGUGCUCUUCUCUCCAACAUUUUCCUGUUGUCUUUUCAACUGCCUCAAGGCAGGACUGUGAUCUUCCCCUACCUUUGUAAUGGUGGGCCUUAGAGCCUGAGGACCUUGCCCAGGGAGGGCCCCACCCUGUACACGGGUACGGGGAAGGGACACUGACAUCAUGAAGCUUCCAUAAGAAGUCAGAGGGUUGGGAGGCCAAGGCGGGCAGAUCAUCUGAGGUCGGGAGUUCGUGACCAGCCUG